UACGUAGGGGGCGAGCGUUGUCCGGAAUGACUGGGCGUAAAGCGCGCGCAGGCGGUUUUUCGCGUCUGAGGUGAAAGGCUGGGGCUCAACCCCGGUAUGCCUUGGAAACGGGAAGACUUGAGUACUGGAGAGGCAAGGGGAAUUCCACGUGUAGCGGUGAAAUGCGUAGAGAUGUGGAGGAAUACCAGUGGCGAAGGCGCCUUGCUGGACAGAAACUGACGCUGAGGCGCGAAGGCGUGGGGAGCAAACAGG
rnacentral:rRNA from 1 species